GACGGGGGGUCCAAGCGUUGUUCGGAAUCAUUGGGCGUAAAGCGUGUGCAGGUGGCUCUGUAAGUUGGAUGUGAAAGCCCCGGGCUCAACUCGGGAAGUGCAUUCAAAACUACAAAGCUUGAGUAAGGAAGAGGGUCGUGGAAUUCCAGGUGUAGUGGUGAAAUACGUAGAUAUCUGGAGGAACACCGGUGGCGAAGGCGGCGGACCUGGUCCUAUACUGACACUCAUACACGAAGCGUGGGGAAUCAAACAGGG
rnacentral:rRNA from 1 species